rnacentral:rRNA from 1 species
CCCGCACAAGCGGUGGAGCAUGUGGGUUAAUUCGACGCAGCGCGAAGAACCUUACCAGGUCUUGACAUCCCUGACAACCCGAGAGAUCGGGCGUUCCCCCUUCGGGGGACAGGGUGACAGGUGGUGCAUGGUUGUCGUCAGCUCGUGUCGUGAGAUGUUGGGUUAAGUCCCGCAACGAGCGCAACCCUCGACCUUAGUUGCCAGCAUUCAGUUGGGCACUCUAAGGUGACUACCGGCUAAAAGUCGGAGGAAGUGGGGAUGACGUCAAAUCAUCAUGCCCCUUAUGACCUGGGCUACACACGUGCUACAAUGGGCGGUACAAAGGGUCGCGAACCCGCGAGGGGGAGCCAAUCCCAAAAAGCCGCUCUCAGUUCGGAUUGCAGGCUGCAACUCGCCUGCAUGAAGCCGGAAUCGCUAGUAAUCGCGGAUCAGCAUGCCGCGGUGAAUACGUUCCCGGGCCUU